rnacentral:rRNA from 1 species
CCUACGGGAGGCAGCAGUAGGGAAUCUUCCACAAUGGGCGAAAGCCUGAUGGAGUAACGCCGCGUGGGUGAAGAAGGUCUUCGGAUCGUAAAACCCUGUUGUUAGAGAAGAAAGUGCGUGAGAGUAACUGUUCACGUUUCGACGGUAUCUAACCAGAAAGCCACGGCUAACUACGUGCCAGCAGCCGCGGUAAUACGUAGGUGGCAAGCGUUAUCCGGAUUUAUUGGGCGUAAAGGGAACGCAGGCGGUCUUUUAAGGCUGAUGGGAAAGCCUUCGGCUUAACCGGAGUAGUGCAUUGGAAACUGGGAGACUUGAGUGCAGGAGAGGAGAGUGGAACUCCAUGUGUAGCGGUGAAAUGCGUAGAUAUAUGGAAGAACACCAGUGGCGAAAGCGGCUCUCUGGUCUGUAACUGACGCUGAGGUUCGAAAGCGUGGGUAGCAAACAGGAUUAGAUACCCUUGUAGUC